GGCGGCGUGCCUAACACAUGCAAGUCGAACGAGAAAGUUGGCUUCGGCCGAUGAGUAAAGUGGCGCACGGGUGAGUAACGCGUGGAUAAUCUGCCCUUUAGUUUGGAAUAACGUACCGAAAGGUGCGCUAAUACCGGAUAAUACUGAAUGACUACUGUCGUUUAGUCAAAGAAGGCUUCUGUUUACAUGCUUUUGCUGAAGGAUGAGUCCGCGUACCAUUAGCUAGUUGGUAGGGUAAUGGCCUACCAAGGCGACGAUGGUUAGCUGGUCUGAGAGGAUGAUCAGCCACACUGGAACUGAGACACGGUCCAGACUCCUACGGGAGGCAGCAGUGAGGAAUAUUGCGCAAUGGGGGCAACCCUGACGCAGCAACGCCGCGUGAGUGAGGAAGGUUUUCGGACCGUAAAAGCUCUGUCGAGCGGGAAGAAAUGCAUGGUGGCUAAUAUCCAUCAUGCUUGACGGUACCGCUAAAGGAAGCACCGGCUAACUCCGUG
rnacentral:rRNA from 1 species